CAGUCGCCACGGUAAUACGAGGGGGGCAAGCGUUGUUCGGAAUUAUUGGGCGUAAAGCGUGCGUAGGUGGUGGUUUAAGUCCGUUGUGAAAGCCCUGGGCUCAACCUGGGAAUUGCAGUGGAUACUGGGUCACUAGAGUGUGGUAGAGGAUAAUGGAAUUUCCGGUGUAGCAGUGAAAUGCGUAGAGAUCGGAAGGAACAUCUGUGGCGAGGGCGACUAUCUGGGCCAACACUGACACUGAGGCACGAAAGCGUGGGGAGCAAACAGGAUUAGAUACCCGAGUAGUCCCUGUCUCUUAUAC
rnacentral:rRNA from 1 species